AGCAAACACAACAUUCGACCUCCAUCACGUUUGUGUACGCCAGCCGUCUUCAGAUCAACUUACUGCUAGAAGUGCUGUAGUUCAUUGAUUGUGUUGCACGAGUGGCGGAUCGCGAAAUUGGUACUUUGUUCUGUAAGCUGUGUGCAAAUUUUCUCGUGCUGUCGUCCGCCCUUCGCCAGUGUUGUAAUAUUAGUUCCUUUGCUGCUGGCAGCAAAAAGCUAUAACGAAUGUCAUUGUGGUAUUCGCACCAACAAAGCAAAGAAAAGCCAGCUCCUGGGUGAUUCCAGCUUUCCACUGAAAAUCAAAACAACAACACAAAAGGGAACGGCAGAUCAAGAACGGGCAGCAGAUCGGUUCGAGCGAGCACUAGUUUUCAGUCUCGAGUAGAGAAACGACGCGAGUGGACAAGUGAAUUCUCCCCCUAUAGACCGCAGAAACUAAACGAAGGAUUAGUCAAGUGGAAAAAAAGAGAAUCGUUUAGUGCUGUGUAUUUUAGUGGAAUUCAGUGUACAGCUCAAUAACGAGCGGAAACAUACCCGAGUGGAAACAAAGUGGAAAAACAUGAGUGAAAUGUCUUGCAAGGGCAGCCCAACGUCGAGCGCUAGCGCUCGGAUUAGCCUGGUCACAGACGAGAGUCAUUUCAGCCUGGCCAGCCUCAAUUCUUCCGCCAGCCAGGACGAGUUCUUCCGGUGCAGAGAGCACUCGGAAUUGGUGCUCAGGCGUCUGCAGGAACAUCUGCAGGACGAGAAGCUGUGCGACGUGAUCUUGAUCGCAGGAUUAGAUGGCAAGCGAAUUCCCGCGCAUCGCCUCGUUCUAUCGGCCUCAUCGGCAUACUUCAGUGCUAUGUUUACCGGUCACUUGCGCGAAAGCCAGCAGGAAGAAAUCACACUUCAGGAAGUGUCCGGAGAGCCACUCUGGUUGAUCAUUCUGUACUGCUAUAGCGGGGUGAUCGAACUGCGCGAAGAUACGGUGGAAGCGCUACUUGCAACCGCCUGCCUGCUUCAGCUUACAACGAUCGUGAACGCGUGCUGCACCUUCCUCGCCCGCCAGCUACAUCCGUCCAACUGUCUCGGGUUUGCGCUGUUUGCCGAGCAGCAGGGCUGCACGGCGCUGCUCAAAAUUGCCUCCGCCUACACCUGCCAGCACUUCAUGCAGGUUUGGAAGAAUCAGGAGUUCUUCCAGCUGGACUCAACGCAGCUAGCACAUCUGUUGAAGAGUGACGAUCUGAAUGUUCCUAACGAGCAGGAAGUGUUCCACGCGCUGAUGGCUUGGAUUCAGUUCGAUGCUGAUAAUCGCAAGAAGUACAUCCCAGAUCUGUUGGCAUUGAUACGGUUACCGCUGCUGCAGCCAUCGUUCAUCGUCGAUCACGUGGAAGCGCUUUGCGGUGCUAACGAGUGUCAACAGUUGGUGAUGGAAGCCUUCAAGUGGCAUCUAAUUCCCGGCAGAAGAUCUCUGAUAUCAACGCAACGAACUAGACCGAGAAAGUCCACCAUUGGGAAACUGCUGGCAGUUGGGGGAAUGGAUGGUCACAAGGGAGCUAUAAGCAUAGAAAGCUACGAACCACGGCUAGACAAAUGGACACUGCUGAAAAAUAUGCCGGCUAGGAGACUUCAGUUUGGCGUGGCCGUUAUGGACGACAAGCUGAUUAUUGUGGGAGGAAGAGAUGGCCUCAAGACACUCAACACGGUGGAGUGUUUCGAUUUAACCACGAUGGCUUGGGGAUCAAUCGUUCCGCCAAUGGGAACGCCGAGACAUGGUCUGGGGGUAGCAUUCCUGGAAGGACCACUGUACGCAGUGGGAGGCCACGAUGGUUGGAGUUAUCUGGCUACGGUGGAGCGAUGGGACCCCGCUGCUCGUACGUGGAGCUAUGUUGCGCCAAUGGCAUCGAUGAGAUCGACGGCCGGAGUGGCAGUGCUCGGUGGAAGGUUGUUUGUUGUUGGUGGAAGAGAUGGAAGCGUAUGUCACCGUACAGUCGAAUGUUAUGAUCCUCACACGAAUAAAUGGACACUGCGCGCACCAAUGAAUAAGCGCCGUGGCGGAGUAGGGGUUGGUGUUCUCAAUGGCUAUUUGUACGCCCUGGGAGGCCACGAUUGCCCUGCCAGCAAUCCAGCCGUGUACAGAGCUGAAACGGUGGAACGUUACGAUCCCACCACCGACACAUGGACUUUGAUCGCAUCCCUUAGCGUCGGACGUGACGCGAUAGGGGUUAGCGUUCUUGGUGAUUGGUUGAUUGCCGUUGGAGGCUACGAUGGAAAUCAAUAUCUGAAAACCGUUGAGCAAUACGACACCGAGAGCAACGAGUGGCAGCAAAUAGCACCGGUCAAUUAUAGCCGAGCGGGUGCCUGCGUUGUGGCGAUUCCGAAUAAUUUUACAACCCCCAGUGGAACAACGGUCGUCGGCACUGGUACCACCUCGAGCUCAAUGGGUGCUUUGGCCGCUGUUUCGUCUUCCUCCUCGACAAACACAACGGUUUAGUACAGUUCCCUAAGGAAUGCGAGUGGCGCUUCUCUCCUAGCGGCUUCCUCGAAGGCGCUACAAAUAAUCCACCAUCUCGCGUAACAGAGGAGCAGGUUCCUCUCGCACCGGUAAUUACUACUAUAGGCGUCAGUUUAGAAUCUAUGAUUAUUACGUUUAAAGAAGAAGAAAAAACGAAGCGCUGCCCAAAAGAUGAAGAUAACAAACCCGCGAUAUGAGCGUGCGCUACGUCGUGAAGACGGCUCUUGUUUUCUGCUGUGAUCCUACUCGUAUGAAUUAUUUUAUGAUUAUUAUGAUUUGCUAUUGCCAAGUGGCAAAGUUCCAGAGCUCCACAUCUCAAAGAAAAAUGGAAAUGAACGGCAGUUCCAGUCGCUCUCACCACCCUACUACCAUGGAAAGUUCGGCUUCCGAUGGGAGCGCCCAUUCCAGAGUCCAGUGAACGUAAUUGAUGGUUGUUCGAGCCAAAGAUUUGCAGCCAAAAUAAAGAGAGAGAGAGAGAGAGAGAGAGAGAGAAAAAAAGAAGUGCGGUGGGAGCGAUGGGAGGUUUUUUUGUUUCAAAAUCUGUGAUCGGCGCUAGCCCGGACGUUAUAGAGAAGGGAGCAUUUCUUUUUUGGUUUACGGUCUAUUUCUGUGUCGAACUGUGAAAUAUUUCCUUCAUCUUGUGACUGUUAGGUUAAAUUUUGAGAGUAAGAAAAAACGGUUCCUUGUCCACCUACAUAGGGAGGGAACCAAAUACGUGAUAAAGCCUUUUUUCACAUAUAUUUUGAGAUUAGAAUUUAGAUAGCAAGAGGGAGGAUAGCUGUAAUUGGUUCGAUAGUAGUAAAAAGCUUGAACGCAUUUUCCGGUGAAUUUUGCAUUCUCAGAUAGGAGGUAUAUUGUGAACGCUUGAUGGAACCUAGCGGAGUAAAGCAUAAGUAGUACGAACAUUGAGCAGCGGAUCUUACAACAAUUUCAAAGAAACUCAAAACGAAUAACUGUACAAAAAAGUACCACUUUUGAUACUAUUUAUACGUAACUAUACUGCAGAUCAAUUAAUAAAUGAUAUUUUAAUAACGAA